rnacentral:rRNA from 1 species
UACAGAGGUCUCAAGCGUUGUUCGGAUUCAUUGGGCGUAAAGAGCGUGUAGGCGGCCAGGUAGGUCCGUUGUGAAAACUGGAGGCUCAACCUCCAGCGGUCGAUGGAAACCAUCUGGCUAGAGUCCGGAAGAGGAGAGUGGAAUUCCUGGUGUAGCGGUGAAAUGCGCAGAUAUCAGGAAGAACACCCGUGGCGAAGGCGGCUCUCUGGGACGGUACUGACGCUGAGACGCGAAAGCGUGGGGAGCGAACAGG